rnacentral:rRNA from 1 species
CGCGUAGGCGGGAAUGCAAGUCAGAUGUGAAAUCUAGGGGCUUAACCCCUAAACUGCAUUUGAAACUGUAUUUCUUGAGUGUCGGAGAGGUUGACGGAAUUCCUAGUGUAGCGGUGAAAUGCGUAGAUAUUAGGAGGAACACCAGUGGCGAAGGCGGUCAACUGGACGAUAACUGACACUCAACUACGAAAGCGUGGGUAGCAAACA